GGUGAGUUAGCUCAACAGGUUAGAGCACAGUGCUGGUAAUGCUGAGGUCAUCGGUUCAAACCCCACACAGGUCA
rfam:Poecilia formosa, whole genome shotgun sequence.